rnacentral:rRNA from 1 species
CCGGCACGGGUGAGUAACACGUAUCCAACCUGCCGUCUACUCUUGGACAGCCUUCUGAAAGGAAGAUUAAUACAAGAUGGCAUCAUGAGUUCACAUGUUCACAUGAUUAAGGUAUUCCGGUAGACGAUGGGGAUGCGUUCCAUUAGAUAGUAGGCGGGGUAACGGCCCACCUAGUCUUCGAUGGAUAGGGGUUCUGAGAGGAAGGUCCCCCACAUUGGAACUGAGACACGGUCCAA